UACAGAGGUCUCAACCGUUGUUCGGAUUCAUUGGGCGUAAAGGGUGCGUAGGCGGUCGGGCAAGUCGGUUGGGAAAUCUCAGGGCUUAACCCUGAAACUGCAUUCGAUACUGCGUGGCUAGAGUGCUGGAGAGGAGACUGGAAUUUACGGUGUAGCAGUGAAAUGCGUAGAUAUCGGGAGGAACACCAGUGGCGAAGGCGACUAUCUGGGCUGCAACUGACGCUGAGGCGCGAAGGCUAGGGUAGCAAACAGG
rnacentral:rRNA from 1 species